rnacentral:snRNA from 1 species
CUAGCUACGGCGCUACAUAUUCUUAAAUUGGAACGAUACAGAGAAGAUUAAGCAUGGCCCCUGCGCAAGGAUGACACGAAAAUUCGUGAAGUGUUCCAUAUUUCA